UAAGGUCACGGCGAGACUAGCCGUUUAUCAUUACGAUAGGUGUCAAGUGGAAGUGCAGUGAUGUAUGCAGCUGAGGCAUCCUAACAGACCGAGAGAUUUGAAC
rnacentral:rRNA from 1 species